ACAUCUGGGAACUAGUUAUGUCCCCUGGGCAUUUUAUUUUCCUGAACAGUAAGAGAAAGCAUCGUUUUCUUUCGCUAAGCCCGCAUCCUCUGACGGAUGUUCCGAAACCGCCAGGUGUGGAAUCUGCGCCCCGACAGCCCCACCUUGGCCCUCGGCCGCGGGAGGACGGCCAACCCUCGGGGCUAUUCUCCACACACAUUGUGCACGAAUUCACCCUGCCUGGCCAGCCGGGAUCACGCAGGGAAAAAGCACCCGCGACCACAGGGUGUUGGUCAUGGCGGCCAGGGGCACUGCGGCAGAUUUUUUUCCUCCCUUCUUUGCUGCAAUCUGGGUGCGGCUGGAGCAAUUUGUCAUAGAAUCUGGGGGGCUCAUUUUUCCGGCCAAUCACUUUUAGAGAAAUGAGCGCAUUGCAGCAGAAUGCGCUGACGUCAGAGACCACCCCUUCUGCGCCUCCAUAUAAACCCCACCCAGCCAGCCCCUAGCGCAGACGGCGGAGAGCGGAGAAGGAGCGCGCCUUGGCUCGCUGGCCUUGGCUGCGGCUCCUCGGGAGAGCUGGGGCGCCCACGCGAGGAUCCCUCACCUGGGUCUCUCCUCAGGGAUGACAUCAUCCAUCCACCUCCUUGUCUUCAAGGACCACCAACUCUCCAUGCCGAGCUGCUGCCAAGGGGCCUGCUGCCCAUCUACACCUCACGAGGGCACUAGGAGCACGGAUUCCCGGAUCCCACCAGCAUGCACAGCAGCCACUGACAGACUCCCAGGACCAGGAUGGCAAAGGAUGAAGAGGACCAGAACUGACCAGCCUGCUGUCCCUCUUGCCUAAAGACUUAAACCAAUGCCCUAGUGAGGGGGCAUUGGGUGUUAAGCCCUGACCUUUGCUAUGUUCAUGCUUUGACUCUAUGAGUUCUUUCCUAUACAUCUUUGCUUGUGUUCACCUGCUAGCAAACUGGAGUGUUUCCCUCCCCAAGGGGUCGUCAGUCUUUCUGGACUGUCUGUCAUCACCCUUAUGAUGUCCUAAAUGGAAGGAUCCCUUUGGGAACUUCUCAGGAGGGGGACCUGGGCCGAGGGCUUGACCAGCAUCCUGCUGGCAACUCCAAGGCCCUGGGUGGGCUUCUGGAAUGAGCAUGCUACUGAAUCACCAAAGGCAUGCCACACCUCUCUGGAGAUCUUUCCUGUCCUUUUCUGGGGAAUGGGGUUGAUGGGAGCAACCUCCUAGGGUUGUUGUGAGAAUUAAAUGAGAUUAAAUUGGGCUCAGGCAGGAUCUGGCAUAGAGGAGGUGAUCAGCAAAUGUUUGUUGAAAAGGUUUGUCAGGUCAGUCCCUUCGCACCCCUUUUGCGUGUCUUACUCAUCCUAUUUAUUCUCCCACAGCACUGCAGGCAGCCCUUGUCCACGGGGCUCUCCUUGCAUCAGGUAGGGGCUUGCAGAGACCACCGACGGGCUGACUUGAGUAAGAACACGAAUUUCGCAUGUGGCCAUUUCCAGAGCACUUUCUAUGUGACACGAACAUGUGGUUUUUAUGUACUAUGUGUAUGUAAAUGAGUCAGCCUAAUUUCCAGGUGACAAUGCAUUUGGUAGUAUUGAUUUGUGUAAUUUAAAAAAGCUGAAAGGGAAAGAGGACCUGUGAGGACUUACAUUUACAUUAAAGAAACUGGAACUUGGGGGAGGUGUAAGUAUUUGGUCACAUUGCUGGCCAGAGAAGGGGUUCGAGUUGGACCCAGGGUGCCAUGGUCGCUGCCCUCACCCCCUCUUCCUCUCUGUCCCAGAGUUAUACUCAGAGUCUUUUUGUUUCAAACCAAACGUUUGAAAACGGGACAGUCUGUUUGAAAUCCCAGCUGCCUGGGGUGGUCUUGGGGGUCUGGGUGGCCCCAGUGCUGGUACCAUGCAUUGGCUUCACCUUUUAAUAAUGGUGUGACCUUAAACAAGUCACUUAACUUCUCUAAGUUUCAGGUUCUUUCAUGGUCUAAAUGCAGAUGAAAACACACCCCCGCACACACACACCUCCCACCACGCACCCCCCCCAACCCCCCCGCCACAUACCCCCUCGUGUAUCUACCCUGCAGGGCGCUUUUGAAGACCAAAUGCUGUAAGUACUACGAAAGUGCUUUGUAAAUUGCUGUGGAAAUUGCAAGGUACUUAAACGCCUGAGGCUGUCCCUCCUCGCUCCCAUGCCCAGGCCUAUUCUCCCUUAGUGAGAACAGCACCCAGUAGGUGCUACGUAUGCUUGUGUUCGUUCAGAAAUUCCAGAAUAACUAAAAACGAAUUAAUUCAACAAACAUUUUCUGGAGCACCGACAAUAUGCGCAGUGCACCAGGCUAGACGUCUGAUGCAAAGAUCAUGAAAACGGUCUCUUGGAACCUAAUUGGGGUCCUGGUUUGACCAGCACUUUCUUUGGUCCCCUUUUAAGCUGACUAGUUUUGUCUGGACAAGACAAAAACAACGUGGGCUGCUUUAGAGAAGUCCCGCUCGCUGCGGACAAUGGCUGCCCGGCCUCUGAAAGGCGCUGAUUGGAUUAUGUGGCAAAUGGAGGUGCGAGGAUGACUUGGACGGUGACAAAUGAGGUGGGCGGAGACCUGCUUUGAGUUAAUCCAGGCUAUUAGGAGGGGACCUUUGUCUUCCAGAGACUGGCAGGAGCUUUUACCAGUGGUUAAAAUGUUAAAAACAUGCUUAAAUGUUCAGGACAAAUAAUUUAUGGUCGGUGAAAAUCCAGGCCCCAGUGAGAUUCGAGUGGGCUGUAAGAUCGAGAGUGCUCUCCAGUGAGCAAUGGCAGGGAAUGUUUUGGUCACUGUUUGCAAGCGUCCCUUCAUUUGAUCCUCACAACUCCCUGUCCUGAGCCAGGGCCGGCCUGCCACUCCCAGGGAAACGGAGGCUGUCAAGCGCUUGCAGGUUAGGCGUCCUCACUGGCCCGUGGAGCCCCCAUUGCCUGAGUUCCAGAGGCAGCAUUGUACCUGCGUCAGCCCCGGCCUCCUCCAGAGGCCUCCCUCUGCAUUUCUGACUUCGCUCUGCCGGCAGCCUGGAGCCUCCCAGGUCCCUGCUGUCGUCUUUUCUAGCCGCUACAGCCUCUGUCUUUCGUUUCACAGCUAAGCUGCUUGAAAGGCCUGUCUACACUCGCUGUCUUCCCUCCUCACCUCCAUUUCCUCUUCAGCCCACUGCUUCCUGACUCGCUCUACUCCGUGGAAGGGCUCUCGCCAAGGAUGCCCUUGGCCAGCCCCACAGCCCCACACCUCCUCAGGGUGUCCCAGCACCAGCCUGGCACAGAAUGGGGCUCAGUUAGAGUAUGUGGGAUGUUGGUUUCUCCAGGCGACUGAAUGAAAGGACUCGACCGCCACAGCUGAGCCACUAGCAGGUUCCCAGUGCCCCCACAAGACCCUUCUGGAGUCUCCAUCUCCUGCCAAGCAUCCUCCAAUGCCUCCUCCUGUGGGUCUGGCUUCAGGGCUGAGAACAGACAUGUGUCCUGCACCAGAGACCCCUCGUGAUCAGGCCCUGCAAUCACUCCACAUCACUGGAGAGCAACCUGCAGCGACGUGGGCCGUGGCCCGGCUGGGUCAGCUGAAGAACUGCAGAUGGAAGUGGAGGAAGACCCCCUGAUGGGACCCACCACUCCGGACCCAAGUCUUUUUCCUGGCCAACCUCUUGCCUUCUUCCUGGUUUGGGCCGACGCCAUCCUGGAUUCCUGCGUGGGAAGGGACCUCGAAUGUGGGACCCCAGCCCCCUCCAGCUUGAAAUCCCUCCACAGCCACGGGGACGCCCUGCACCUAUUCCCACGGGACAGGCUGGACCCAGAGACUCUGGACCCGGGGCACCCCCUUGAGUAGAGACCCGCCCUCUGACUGAUGGACGCCGCUGACCUGGGGUCAGAGCUGCGGGCUGGACCCCUGCCCACCCCGCAGGAACCCAGAGGCCUAGGGGAGCUGCCGAGCCUUCGGUGUCUGCAUGCGGGGAGUGGUGGGCUGGUUCACCUACCUCACAGGGCUGUUGUGAGGGCACUGUGAUUCGGCAAAGCACAGGGCUUGGCACACCCCACUGUGCUCUCAAUAAAUGUGUUUCCUGUCUUAACAAACA